GUCCGGACCCGGGGGUGAUGGUUGUAUAAAGGCAGCCGGCAGCCCUUGGCCGGUGCGCAUCCUGCAAUCGGGCAGGGCAGCAACAAGCGCUGCGGGGCUGACCCGCACGGAGCCAGGGUGGCUAAAAACACCGGUGCUGGCUGCGGACUCGGGUUGAAAACGCAGCGGGUGCAGCCGCACAAGUUGGAGCUGCAGUUCGAACGCAACCUGCAAACGCACAACGCGGAGAUGCAGCGUGCAAACGUGCAGCCCGCAAGCGUUUCUUCACACGUCGGGGAAGGGUCGGUCUGCAAGCGCUUACGGACUGCUUCAAACUGGUGACAACGGUGGGGAUAACACCGCCUUGCUGGUGUAGACACAGUGGACAAAACCACAUUCCUAUAAUCGGGAUAACGGGAACAGGCAAAGCGUGCGUUUGUACACACACACCGUCUGCCCCCGCCCCGGAAGCGGCCGUCACAUGGCGGCGCGGCGCUGCCAUAAACACACCAAGAUGGCGGCCCUCACGCCGUCUGCCCGUGCUGCGUCAUGUCGCUCCCCGGCCCCGACGGGCACUGAGCCUUCAGGCUUUAUUUGUGUGCCAAGCGCCGUAAUCAAGCAACUACAGACUCUAAUGCUUAAUCUACAAAUGGUGCUAAAUCCGUGAGUUUGAGGGGAUGUAUUUAAGUCAUCCGUGCCUUACGUCAGGAUUGCGUAAUCUGUUGGCUCUCCCCUUUUUAUGUAAUGUAUGUUUGUAGUUGGGUUUAAAACAUACAAAUGUGUUUUUCCCCCUGCGUGCCUCUCCUCAGCUAGUUCGUAUUUGUCUCUCCGUUGCCCUCUGGAGUUAAAACCAUGCAAGACACCGUUUGGAUGGCUGGAGCCAGCUGACGGGUGCGUAUUUCUCUCUUAACAACAGUCUCUGUAACACCUCAGGACGUGGUGCUCUUCUCCAGGUGAGUUGUCUAGAGUGUUAGGCUGCUUCUUGGCGUUUCUGCUUCCUCCUGGUGUAAACAUGAGAGCACCCUGUACCAGUGAAUCCCAUCAACGUCCAAAAUGAACUUCUGAAAAACUUAAUAAUACAUUAACUUUUUCUGUAACACAUUAACUUCUGUUGUGUAAAACUGUUGUUUUUUAAACUCAUUUCAGAACUUGAUCUGUUUGAUUCUCUUAACCAAAGUGCACGUGUGUGUGUAGAAAUAUUUCCAUGAUCUUUUUCAGCAGUGCCUGUUUUUAGGGAAGAAAACAGAAAAAGGGAAGGAGGUAAAAGUAUAGGUUGAUGUAAGGUGGUAAUGUGAUCAGUUUGUGGUGGAAUUGUUUAUUUCACAACUUUAUAUUUGUACCCUAUGACCUAAAAAUGCCACUGAGCCUUUAGGCCCCUCAUGUGCUCACUCCAGCUGCAGCCCCUGGUGAGCACAGCUGGGUGCUGCUCCCCUCAGAGCCCUUGUGCUGGUGCUGUCAGUGAUCCCCCUCCUCAGCUGUCGCAGGCAGUGUAGCUCCAUUAACUCACCUGGCUCUCUGCCAUUGCACCCAGUGACUGGCUGGUGACAUUCAAUACUCAAGCAGCAUAAACCAAAUGUUGCUGUCUUAGCUACAGUGGAUUUAAGGGGGAAGAGAGGAGUCCGCGUGUUCUCUGUGGUGAUACCUGUAGAGCAGUUAGUUACCCCAUCUCCAUUAAAUCCAACUACUACUUAAGACCACUUUGAGCUGCAUUGCAGAAACCACUGUACUGAUUAAGAUAACAAAUUAGCCAGAUAAUUAAUGCUGGACUGAAACCCCUGAUGCAAAGCUACUUCUGUUAAAUCCUCCUGAGCUUUUCACCUGGCAGAUGGACACUGGUUGGAGUGAUGUUGUGUUUCUGAGACCUGUAAGGGAUGAGGAGGUGGAG
rnacentral:lncRNA from 1 species